UGGAAUCGGAUGAAGAUUUGAGGUACCGUGAGCAGCCGCAGAGCCGAAGUUUGGAAGCGGCAGCCGCCGAAACAGACCCUGGGGACCGUAUCAACAUCCACGGUGCCCGUGCGUUCAUUUCCAUCGAGGACGGAUUUUGUCGGCUCGUCUUCCAAAAGCUAAGUGUUGGGACCGGUGGUGGGGGACAAGGGAAAACCCUUUGGAAUUGCAGGAGGCAAUUUGAAGUUAGCUUAGAGGAGAGGGCUGUAGAGGGGUAGGUCCCUCGGAAGUAAAGGGAGAGG